UAUUAUAUUGCCCCUAAUUAAUUAUUAUAAGUUAUUUAUAUAUUACAAAAUUAAUAAUAUUUAAUUAAAAAAUAAAAUAGAUAUUUAUGACAUGUCUGCUUCAACCGUAAUUGUACCAUAUCACUCCUAAUUAAUUAUUAUACUGCUCCUAAUUAAUUAUUAUAAGUUAUUUAUACAUUAAAAAAUUAAUAAUAUUUAAGUAAAAAAUAAAAUAGACAUUUAUGACAUGUCUGCUUCAAUCGUAAUUUUACUAUAUGACCCCUAAUUAAUUAUUAUAGUCAUUUAAGCAUUGUGUCAUAUAAGUUAAAAUAGAAAAAAAUAAUUUAAUAUGUUAUAUAUUUCAAAAAAAAUUACAUGAAAAAUACUAGAAAUCACAAUAAUUAACAACUUAAAAGAUUUAAGAGAUAUAAAAUAUUUGGUCGACUCUUGAAGUUAUAUUAGUGUCACUGAAAAUGGAAUAGAAGAAAAGUAUUAUAAAUCACAAUAAUUAAAAACUUAAAUUAGUUUUAAAAUAUAAUUGAUUAUCAAUACUACAAAAAUCUGGAUAAGAAGAGUAACGUAUUCAAAAGGAAAAAAAGUAAAAUUUUCAUGACAUUUUUUUAAAAAAAAUAAAAAUUGCUACAUAUACUCAAAGGGCAAAAGAGUAAAAACACAUAAGAGAUAAAUGUAGAGAAAUCAAGAAGCACCAAAUGGAUUAUUAACAUUUGUAACAUUCAAAAUAUUUCUAAAUGUUUCCAAAUUCUUCUUGAAUCAACACAUAUACAUAAUAAAAAUAAUAAAUAAUAAUAAUUACAUUUUACUAUAUCACCCCUAAUUAAUUAUUAUGGUCAUUUAAGGAUUGUGCCACAUAAGUUGAAAUAGAAAAAA
rnacentral:lncRNA from 1 species